UUUGGAUUAUCUCUAUUCUAUAAAGGAACAGCUGAGGGACAUUUUGGUAAUGUCACUUUUCGUGUCCCCCAAUUAAAAGUCAAAAAUACCCUUUAAUCUAACCUACCCUAACCCUUCCUCCCGUCUUCUCUAUCCUCUCUUCUGAUUUUUUUUGAACCAUUUUUCUCUCCGUACUUCUCUCCCUCUCUCUCCUCUUUCAUCUCGCUCAAAUUCUUUGAAUCUGGGAUAUUGAUUUCGAUCUCAAAUCCCUAGCUAGGGCCGACCGCGAGAUUGUUCUGCUCGAUAUCAUUUUAUCAACUCCCGAAGGUAAAUCCUAGCAUUUUUUUUCUUUUUUCGUCGUUAAUCUUCAUUUCCCUCUAUUUUCUAUUUCUAAAACCCUAAUUGUUGAUUCUUUGUAACGAAAUACGAGGUGUUCACGGUGAUUUCCACAAUAUGUUUAGGCUCUCUCUUCGAAAUUGCCGCCGCCGUCAUGCUUCACCGCAUCGUAAUGUUUCGUCGCCGCCGCCGUCAUUGAGUGAGUCGACGAAAAAGUGUAACUUGAUUGCAUGUAGUUCUUCCAGCUGAAUUAAAGUUGCUAAACUUCUUCCUAAGAAUCGCCUUCUGUCCGAGGACUUGCGGCUGAAUCAUCCUUCAAGUUUCACGAAAAACAAGAGAUAGGGUAAUGAAAGAAAAAGGCGAAACACUUGGGUAGAGUUUUGUAUUCAGGCUAUUGGUCUUUUUUGUAAGCUUCUUUGUUUGGGCCCAAUAUUUAAUCCCAAUGUUGGCCUUUAACGAGUUUACGUUAGCAUCAUUAUGUUAAGUUUCUGU